rnacentral:misc_RNA from 1 species
GUUUUAUAGUUGAAGUACAAAUAAGGUUCCCGUCAGAUAUAUUUCUCAUUCAUAACAUCAAAAAUUACCUAACCAGAGAUUACUAAACAAGCGUUUCCCAAUCGCAUAAACAAUCAAGUCCUCUGCAAAUGAGAUUUCAAUAAUGUCCUUCCUAUUCACGAGUUGUCUGAAAGGCGUCUUUCAUCCUAACAUGUCCUCAUCCAGUGUUAGCGUGCGUUCAUAACACUCUGCUGAAGUAGAUAUUCAUGAAGUGUCUCGAUGGAUUGAAGCCAAUCAAAAUAAAGAUGGGUGAAAGGACGAUGACAAUGCCAAUUGGAUAUAGGAAGAAUGUUGUCCUCUCCAAAAAGGGCAAUACAUCAUAACCUAAAAAGUUGAGGUAAUGAUAGUAGGAAGCUGCGACCAUGAAGAGCAAAUUUGACAGCAACACAGGAAUGAAACCAUGAGCUACCAAAAGCGGGGACAGAAAAUAAUGUAUCACAUAAAGCAAAACGAACAUAGGGAAGAAAGAGUUGCAGUGGACAUCAAAUGCAUACAGCCAUUCUACCCGCUGCUCCACGGCAUGACUGCUUGGAGCUUCCUCUCGAAGGUAAUUGUUGGUUAGGAACCAGCAACAUGUUGCCAAAGUAGCUCCGGUGAGUAUAAAAUGAAAAAGCAAUACUGAGAUAACAACAAAAACAGCAUGUCCUGCACUAUGAUCAUACGCAGCACAGUAUGCUAAAGUAGCAAUCACCAACAGAAGAGUACAUAUGACAAUAAAUGCAGGAUCAUCGCGUGCCCACUGGUUCUUUGUUUGCUUGUGGUACUUUGUGUGCUGAUAUACUACUUUAGGAGAGGUGCAUAGAUGAAGCAUUUGCCAAAAGGUAUAUUCGAUAUCCAUUUGUUGCCACUUGAUUAUUUUGCGAAGGUACUGAGGCAACACUGAAUUGGGUCGGACAUGAGAGCUCGUUCGACCUAAACCUUUUGAAGUUGUGGGCAACAUCUUUAUCCUUUUCCCCCCUUGUUCUUCAAGAAUUUUGUGAUUCCUUAUUCAAUUGGAUCAAAUAUCGCUGGAUUUUACAGCUCUGCUUCUGGUUUGACACUGUAGUCCGCUCUCUUCCUCCUCCUCUUUACUCUCUCUCUG